GCCGGCGUAGCUCAGGGGUAGAGCGUUUCCUUGGUAAGGAAGAGGUCGUGGGUUCAAUUCCCAUCGUUGGCU
rnacentral:tRNA from 1 species